UACAGAGGGUGCAAGCGUUGUUCGGAAUUAUUGGGCGUAAAGCGCGCGUAGGCGGCUUCUCAAGUCAGGGGUGAAAUCCCAGAGCUUAACUCUGGAACUGCCUUUGAAACUGUGAAGCUGGAAUGUGAGAGGGGAUGGCGGAAUUCCUAAUGUAGAGGUGAAAUUCGUAGAUAUUAGGAGGAACACCGGUGGCGAAAGCGGCCAUCUGGAUCACAAUUGACGCUGAAGUGCGAAAGCGUGGGUAGCAAACAGG
rnacentral:rRNA from 1 species